rnacentral:rRNA from 1 species
CCUACGGGCGGCACCAGUAGGGAAUCUUCGGCAAUGGACGAAAGUCUGACCGAGCAACGCCGCGUGAGUGAAGAAGGUUUUCGGAUCGUAAAACUCUGUUGUUAGAGAAGAACAAGUAGGAGAGUAACUGCUCUUACCUUGACGGUAUCUAACCAGAAAGCCACGGCUAACUACGUGCCAGCAGCCGCGGUAAUACGAAGGUGGCAAGCGUUGUCCGGAUUUAUUGGGCGUAAAGCGAGCGCAGGCGGUCUUUUAAGUCUGGUGUGAAAGCCCUCGGCUCAACCGAGGAAGGUCAUUGGAAACUGGAGGACUUGAGUGCUGAAGAGGAGAGUGGAAUUCCAUGUGUAGCGGUGAAAUGCGUAGAGAUAUGGAGGAACACCAGUGGCGAAGGCGGCUUCCUGGCCUGUAACUGACGCUGAGGCGCGAAAGCGUGGGGAGCAAACAGGAUUAGAUACCCUUGUAGUC